rnacentral:hammerhead_ribozyme from 1 species
GUGCUGCUCAAGAGUCCAAAACUAGGACGAAACAGCUGUCCAGUAC